rnacentral:rRNA from 1 species
UACAGAGGGGGCAAGCGUUGUUCGGAAUUACUGGGCGUAAAGCGUGCGCAGGCGGUUGUGCAAGACAGAGGUGAAAUCCCCCGAGCUUAACUUGGGAACUGCAUUUGUGACUGCACGGCUAGAGUGUGUCAGAGGGGGGGUAGAAUUCCACGUGUAGCAGUGAAAUGCGUAGAUAUGUGGAGGAAUACCGAUGGCGAAGGCAGCCCCCCUGGGAUGACACUGACGCUCAUGCACGAAAGCGUGGGGGAGCAAACAGG